AUGUCUGGCUCGCCGGGGCAAGUCGUGAGCGAGGUCGGGAAGCGCCUCGCGCAGCCGCGCCUCGGCAAGGACGCCCUCGUCAAGCUCCUCAAGCAAGCUGAAAGUGCUUUAUCAGAGUUGAGUCAGUCCUCCUCUCUGCAUGAUGCUCUACGUCCUUUGAGUAAAUCACUGGUCCAGAACACUUUACUUAGCCACAAGGACAAGGAUGUCAGACUUCUUGUUGCUGUCUGCUUCAUUGAAGUUAUGCGAAUCCUUGCACCUGAUCCACCUUUUACUGACGAAAUAUUUAAGGAAAUAUUUAGGCUCUUCAUCAGCGAAUUUUCACGGCUUGCAGACAUUGGAAGUCCAUAUCUUACGAGAAGGAUGAAAAUACUGGAGAAUGUUGCUGCGCUUAGAUGCUCUGUAAUUAUGGUUGACACUGGUUGUCAGGACUUGGUUCUUGAUAUGGCCAAAAUAUUCUUCUCGGCAGCAAAGCAAGGUCUUCAGCAAUGUGUGCACCAGGCUAUGCUAUCAAUAAUGACACAGAUAUUAAAUGAAAAAGUUACUCAGCCUCUUCUGGAUGUGAUUUUCCGCAAUUUAGUAAAAGAGGACAAGGGAGGAGCCCACAAGCUUGCCGUUGACAUCAUUCAAAACUGUGCUGAGAAAUUGGAGCACAUAGUUCGAAUUUUUUUGACAUCAUGCAUUUUGAGCAAGGAUGCACCGGUUAAUGAACACAGGAAGCUGCAUCAUAAAAUUAUUCUGGAAAUAUUCCAGUGUGCACCCCAGAUGCUUUUUGCUGUUAUUCCAUGCUUAACUCAUGAGCUCCUGAGUGACCAGGUUGAUAUCCGACUGGAGGCAGUGCACCUGAUUGGGAAGCUUCUUGUCUUCUCUAAUCUUCGCUUUGGUCAAGAAAACCAGAUAUUAUUUACUGAAUUCUUGAAGAGAUUCUCUGACAAAUCUGCAGAAGUAAGAAUUGCUGCAAUUGAUGCAGCAAAAGCAUGCUACAUUGCUGCAUCAUCUGGAAAUGUAGCACAGAAAGUUCUCAAAUCUCUUGAAGGAAGGUUAUUGGAUUUUGAUGACAAAGUGAGGAUCAGAGCUGUUUAUGCAGUUUGUGAUUUAGCCAAAUCAAAUCUAAGCUCAUUUCCUUCUGAGUUGAUAUUACAAGCAGCAGAGAGGCUACGUGACAAAAAGAUAUCUGUCAGAAAGAAUGUAAUGCAUAAGUUGGUGGAGCUGUAUCGAGAUUACUGUGAGAAAUGCUCCAAAGGAACCGCGGCAAUUAAUACUCACUAUGAACAAAUCCCAGCUAAACUUAUUGUUCUCUGUUUUGACAAAGAUUGUGAAUCUUUCAGGCCACACAAUAUGGGGCUUAUUUUUGCUGAAGAACUCUUUCCAUCACCACUUUCUCCAAAAGAAAGAGCAAUGCAUUGGGUUGAGUUUUUUUCUUAUUUCAAAUCACAACAUGUUAAGGCUUUGCAUGCCAUCUUUUCUCAGAAAAGAAGGUUGCAACUGGAGUUGCAAGCAUAUUUAUCACUUCGAGCAAAGAAGGAAGAAUCUUCAGAUGAAAUACAGAAGAAAAUUUGUGCGUCAUUAAGGAAGAUGUCCGCUUCCUUUACAGAUAUCUCUAAAGUUGAAGACUGCUUUGAGAUUUUGCACCAGAUGAAGGAUAAUAACAUAUUUAAGGAUUUGACUGAAAUAAGCAAAGAGGGCACUACUUUUGCAACAGUUCGAUCAAUCAGAGAUUCAUUUCUCAAGAGAAUUGGUAACAAACACCAAAUUUACAGCUUCUGCAAAGAACUGUCUACAAAACUCUCGCAUUCACUAUUUAAUUGGGAGAUGAUUUGUGCCAUUUUGGAGGUUCUUUUCUCCUGCAGAAAUGAAUUAACCCAUUAUGCAGAGUCCGCAUGUGAUCUUUUACUGCUAGUUGCAAUGGUGUUUCCAUCAUUAUUCAGAGGCUCAGAGGAGUACUUGCUAAAGUUGUUCUCCGAAGACUCAGUCCUGAUAAAUGAGAAGAGUCUCCAAAUGUUGGCAUAUUUGGCAAAAUCACCGUGUAAAUUAUCUAUUAAUUUCAGUAGUGAUGUCUACCUCUUACUGGAGCAAAAGUGUAUUGAAGGAACACGUGCUGAAUCGAAAUAUGCCAUUUCUGCAAUUGCUUCACUGAUCCAGUCUCCAGAUGACAAGAAAUUUGCCAAAUUAUGUAAGAAAGUUGUUGGUGGUCUACAUGAUAACCAUAAUAUCCCAACUCUAUUACAGUCGUUGGGCUUAAUAUUGGAGUAUUCUCCUUCCAUGUAUACAUCAUAUGACGACCAAUUUAUCAAUUUUGUUCAACGUGUUUUUGUCUCACCUGAGUUUGUUUCAACUCCGGAACUGUCACCCUCCAAUGAAAAUUCUGCAUGCAGUUUCUCUUGCAAACUGAAGAUUUAUUGUCUCAAAGCACUUGUCAAAAGUUGUUUACCAACAACUACUGCCCGUGAUCGAAUAGAGAAUUUCUUUAAGAUGCUGUUGGAUAUAAUUCGCGAAGAAUUCACGCCCAUUACUAUAUGUGAAAAUGAUAAGCCAUAUCUUAGACUGGCUGCUGGGAAAUCUGUACUACGACUAGCUACAAGAUGGGAUUCACUCAUUUCUCCAGAAUUAUUUCGCACUGCCCUUCUCAUGGCAAGGGAUUCUUCAUAUAUUGUUCGCAAGUCAUUCAUUCACAAACUUUUUGGCCUUUUGAAGAAGCAUGCAAUACCUGUUAGAUAUGCAUGUGCUUUUGCAUUGGCAUCAACUGAUUGCUGUGGAGAUGUUCGUACUGAAUCGCUUAGGUACUUAACUGAAGUGGUAAAAGAGCAAAGAGGAGUUUCUGUUCAUCAGAACAAAACCAGCAAUGACUCGAUUGUAGAACACCCAGCAUAUGCUGUCCUUUUCUUGAUCCAUACGCUUGCAUAUGAUGAGGAGUUUCGUUUUAACUUUUGUGAAAAGGAGACUGGCUCGGCUGAGUUUUGGAGCCCACUUAUUGUGAUGUUGAGAGAGCUAGUUGAAAUAGAGGAUCUAAGCCAAACCAAGCAUGGCUCCGCCACAAGCUCUGUAUCCAUUCUUUUGGGCAUCUUUCGUGCUGUUCAAAAGGCUGAGGAUGUGAUUGAUUCUGACAUCACUCAUAAACUGCACAUUCUCUCAAAAAUUGGUUUGCUUAUGAUAAAAGAACUUGAUAAGCAUUGCAAGACAUCAGAUUCUCCACGCCAUAUUCUCCUGCCCUCAUCUUAUUAUAGGUUGUCUCGGAGUGAGAGAAAAGCGGAUGAAUGCUGCCAACUAGAUUUAAUUACUGAUACUUUUGUGAAGAGAAUUCUAAAAGCUCAUGAACCUUAUAACCAACAGGAGGAUACUACAUGCUCUACUAUUACUGAGAGGGUAUCUAAAGAAUCUGCUCCUAAAAGGCAAACUCGUUCCUCAUCAAACAAACCAUUAUUUGGACAGUUUGUAAGUGGUCAUGAGCAAGGGAAAACGAAGAAAAGUUCAGUCCAGGCGAAAGAUGUCCCCAAGAAAAAUUACCUGGAUAUCUUGGAAAAAGACAACGUGUCAUCUUGUGGUUCCGCCGGCACAAAGCUGUCAUCUCCAGGGUCUUUGGGUUUGACUAAUGAAGCUGAUUCUAGAGAUCUGAAGACGAUAUCUUCAAAGGACACCAUGUCAACAGAGGACUUUCCUGACUGUCAUCUCAGAGAUUGUGAACUAGACGAAGAUGUUGGUGAUUGUGAUGGUAAUUUUGUGAAGCGUCCUUUCUCCAGCAACAAAACAGCAGUGGCUGCCCUCAAGAAGAAAAGCAAGAGAGCAUUGGAUUUGAGAAAUGCAAAGAAUUCUGCUGGAUCAGCUGCGGACACAAUAGACAAUGUUCGACGGACCAGAUCAAGGAAGGCGCAAACAUAA
rnacentral:rRNA from 1 species